AAUCAUGGCUCAGGAUGAACGCUAGCUACAGGCUUAACACAUGCAAGUCGAGGGGAAACGACAUCGAAAGCUUGCUUUUGAUGGGCGUCGACCGGCGCACGGGUGAGUAACGCGUAUCCAACCUGCCCACCACUUGGGGAUAACCUUGCGAAAGUAAGACUAAUACCCAAUGAUAUCUCUAGAAGACAUCUGAAAGAGAUUAAAGAUUCAUCGGUGAUGGAUGGGGAUGCGUCUGAUUAG
rnacentral:rRNA from 1 species